GGAGGCGUGAUUCCGCCGGGCGCGCCACGGUCCUCGCAGUUCAAACCUUCGGCGUUCUUAUAUUGGCAACUCCCAUCCCCGGAAUGCUCGGGACAUAUACAUUUUUGUCAUAGUUCCCGCCACUUCCUUUUAGGCAGCUACACGCCUUUUUCCUCCUAAGAGAUGAUAACUCCGAGAAACAGCUACACUCGAUCCUAAGGCGCCAUGGCAGUCCCUAUUAGCUUCUUGAGCCACUGCUCGGUGCCCACUGACGCGCCAAGAACACCCCACGCCUGGGAGGAACCGAGAAACUUCGACCAGUGGAGCCAGUUCGGCUGCACCCGUCGUCCUACUCCCAAGACUCACAGUGAUCCCACCUGGCUCUGUCUCUUCUCCACACAUUUUAUCCUGCCUGCCCCCAAAACAGUCCCACUCCAUCCCCGGCCUCAGCCUCACCUCUUCGCAGUUUUAUGACCUGACAACCCCCCGCCCCAAGUUGCCACCGAAAAGGACUUCUCGAUUUCCCCUACAACAGUAUAGAUGACAGCCCUGUUUUCUUCAUAUAGAAACUGCCGGGAGAAAUGUUCAUUAUUUGGUAAGAACGGAGAUAGGAAGAAAGGGUAAACCCUAAAGAUGGAAACUUUAAAAAAAAAAAAAAAAUGACAGCAAAAGCAAACAGAAAGGCCCCUGGCUGGGGCUGCUGCUCUUCAUACAGAAUCGUCACCUGAAAGAAGAGAAACUACAAAUUAAUCUUGGCCGCCUCUCCAGCUCAUCCGUGGCGUUGGAGAAAGGCUUCUUAAAUGCCUUCGAGCCCAGAACCUUUCUUCUGGGACCUUCCGCUGCAUCUAGAAAAGAAAGGGGCGAGAUCUGUUUGUGUCAGCGUCCAGGUGUGCUCCUCGGCUGGCCAGCGUCCCUGGGCUGUGGCCACUUACUUAGCUCACAGUUGGGAGCAGCUGCUGCCGCCCUUGGCUGCUUCUUCCCCAUGGUGCAGGACUGGUUUGGCUUUUCAGAGCAGCGCAGCCUCUAUAUAUGCAGAGGAGUACGCCUCCCCUUGGCUAGAGAGAACACUUAAGCUCAGAGACAUCAUGAAGCAGUCCAUACAGGAGCCGUGACAGCACUUUUCUGCACAGAUGUCAGCACCUACGGAUAGCAUUGGGUACUGCUAUUGACCAUCUUUUCCUGGAAAAUCGGAAAAUCGUUCUUCAGGGUUCUUCAAAAUACCUGUGGGGCCAAGGAGAUAACGGCUUGGCAAGAAAGGUGUUUGCAGCGGAAGCCCAGUGAGCUGACUUGGAGCCGCCGAGGAAGCCAUACAAAGGUGGAAGGAAAGGUGGAAGGAAAGGUGGAAGGAAAGGUGGAAGGAAAGGUGGAAGGAAAGGUGGAAGGAAAGGACGGGUUCCUGAGCAGCCUCUGACCUCCACUCAAGCACAUCUUACACCCACCCCAUACAAUAAUGAUACAGAAGUUAAAAAAGCAACUAUGUGAUUGUUCUCUGGCUCCAUUGGCAUGGACCCCAGGGUCCCAAACCCAUGGGAAUUGGCAAAAAUCCCUCUGGUUGCCUGUAGGAAUGCUGUUGCCUGCUUGAGCCUACUGCUCCCCUGCAGAGACCUCCCACCUAGAGAGCUAACCUUUCCUCCUUCCCUGUCCAUAAUAAACAAGCUGAGGCUCUAUACAGCUGUGGUCUCCAUCAGACCUCCCAAGGUCCGCUCCAUCCAGCUUUUCUGCCCCUGUGUCUGUGGGUCAGUCCUUCCUUUUUUCUCUGUGGCCCCGUCAGGUUUCCAGGACCAAGCCCUGCAGGAAUUGCAAGCAUUUCUCACUCUGCUUAACAAAUUAACUCAUUGUGUAUACAUUUACUGAGUACCUAUCAUGUUCCCAGCACAAGUUGGAUGCUACAAGUAUGAGUGAUAAUAGAAGCACAAGCCAUCCUUGAUUACUGGUUUUGUGCCUUUUCCCCCAAUAAAUUGAGCUUUCAAUAGAAAAGAUUGAGCCACAUAAGGUGGUAACCACCUUUGAUCUCCACCUUGGGAGGCAGAGGCAGAGGCAGGGAGAUCUCAGUGAGUUCCAGGCUAGCCAGGGGUACAUGGUAAGAUCCAGGGCGUGGGGGUAGGGCUGUCCUGUCUUUGUGCAGCUGUAGCUGGCAAAGACCAGGUAUACAGGGGUGUCCUAUGAAUGUUUUACAGAUGGAUGGAUGAUAGAUGGGGUGUUUUAUAACGUGUAAGACAUGUUAUAACUCAAGCAAUAAGGAAUGAUAGCAUAUUCCUAUUUAUGUACGCAUUUUCAAAAUUAGGUUUUACACCAGAAAUAAUCUUCCCUAGAUGCUGCUAGCAUUAGAAGCUAUUCCUAC
rnacentral:lncRNA from 1 species